rnacentral:lncRNA from 1 species
UUUGACGUGGCAUCUGACAUUUUUAGUGGGCCGAUCCCUUCAUAUCAGCCCAUUAUUUCUGGCCUAUGGCAUUUCGAGUCUAGCCCUUUUACAACAAAUUAAGCAUAGUUGUUAUUGGGCCAUUGACAUUUUCUCCCUUUUUUAGGUUUUCUACAAAUAGUACGCUGGGCUAGGCAAUCUCUAGCCUCUUUUCUUUUAAAAGUGAGCAAAAUGAACAACAUAAAAAUGAGAGUAAUUGAUUGCUCCAGCAUUUCAUUCACUUACAACCAUCACAUAACAUUAGAACAUGUAACAUUAGAUUACAAACGAUACAUGCAAUACAUGCUGAUCACAACACGAUCCAACCACCACAUGUAACCUACCCCACGUACGAAUUAGAAUAACCUAAUCCUAACUGAAAUUUCAUGCGCGAGCUGCUUAUGAUUAACCUAGGACUUGUUGUGUUCUACACCAAGGCUUUUGUCUCCAGAACUGCAACAACAAAAUAUAAGUAAUAACUUGCAAGUGGAAACACAUAUACUACCAUUUGUCUUAAGAUUGAACAACAGACCAUCAUGUGCUCUGUUUUAAUACAUAAAAUAAAAACAUGUAAGGCAGAGCAUGAAGUGCCUUUGUUUUAAUAUAUAAAAUUAAAACAUGUAAAUCAUUUGUAAGAAUACAAAUAAAUACACACUUUGCCAAGAUUAUUCCCAAAUAAACCACACUUUGUGCAAGCACACUGGUAUGAACAUAAACAUUUAACAUGGCGUCUAUGCAAUGUGCCACAAAUAUUGCACAUCAUGUGGCAUUAAUACGAAGGUGACAGGGAUAGCUUGAGGCAUCAAUACGAAGAUGACAUGGAUAGCAUGCAGGAAUGAAAAUUGAACAUCUGAUGAGACUAAAGUCUAAAACAAAGAUGCAGGGUACGUACUAAACAAAGUGGCAAACACAUGAAACAGAACACAUGAUGUCAAAACGAGAAUUUGGUGGUCACUAACAAAGUAAAUGUACAAAAGGCAUUAAUAAACAUAGAGCAAAAGAAAUAACUGAAGAUUAAACGACCUAUAUCAUGUAC